rnacentral:rRNA from 1 species
CCCUUAGAUGUUCUGGGCCGCACGCGCGCUACACUGACGAAUGCAACGAGCUUAUAACCUUGGCCGAAAGGUCUGGGUAAUCUCCAAAUUUCGUCGUGAUGGGGAUAGAUUAUUGCAAUUAUUAAUCAUCAACGAGGAAUGCCUAGUAAGCGCAAGUCAUCAGCUUGCGUUGAUUACGUCCCUGCCCUUUGUACACACCGCCCGUCGCUCCUACCGAUUGAAUGGUCCGGUGAAGCGUUCGGACCGUGGCCUUUGGACGGUUCGCCGUCUGUUGGCUGCGGGAAGUUCGUUAAACCUUAUCAUUUAGAGGAAGGAGAAGUCGUAACA